GUUUGAAUGGAAUUUGUAUUUCGUGACUGCAUGAUUAUUUGUUAUGAUCAAAAUGACAUUGUGAAAUUAGUAUGUUAAAUUCUCUUUCCCCUGUUUACAGUUCUGGUAGAUGUGUAUUAUGCUUGAUCUUAAUAUCUAAUUUGCUAUUAUAUAAGUGAUGAAAUAUAUAUUUCAAUUGUUCAUUGGUGUCACAGAUGUACAUCUGUCUAAACUACAACAGCUACAAAAUACAGAAGCACGUCUUAUCUGUUCUAUCCCUAAACAUGAUCACAUCACUCUGACUCUCAUCAAAUUACACUUAAGGAUCAAGUUCAAAAUUGCUAUGCUUGCUUUUAAAUGUAGCCAUCAGUAUGCACCUCUCUGUCUUGUCAAUCUUUUAAAAGUAAGAAAUACAUCAUGCUAUAGUCUAAGAUCUAACAAAAGCACAUUGCUUGAAGACUAUAGUACAAAAACAAAGAAAACACUUGGC